rnacentral:rRNA from 1 species
GAUGAACGCUGGCGGCGUGCCUAAUACAUGCAAGUCGAGCGAACAGACGAGGAGCUUGCUCCUUCGACGUUAGCGGCGGACGGGUGAGUAACACGUAGGUAACCUACCUAUAAGACUGGGAUAACUUCGGGAAGCCGGAGCUAAUACCGGAUAAUAUUUCGAACCGCAUGGUUCGAUAGUGAAAGAUGGCUUUGCUAUCACUUAUAGAUGGACCUGCGCCGUAUUAGCUAGUUGGUAAGGUAACGGCCUACCAAGGCAACGAUACGUAGCCGACCUGAGAGGGUGAUCGGCCACACUGGAACUGAGACACGGUCCAGACUCCUACGGGAGGCAGCCGUAGGGAAUCUUCCGCCAUGGGCGAAAGCCUGACGGAGCCACGCCGCGUGAGUGAUGAAGGUCUUCGGAUCGUAAAACUCUGUUAUUAGGGAAGAACAAACGUGUAAGUAACUGUGCACGUCUUGACGGUACCUAAUCAGAAAGCCACGGCUAACUACGUG